rnacentral:rRNA from 1 species
GACAGAGGCCUCGAGCGUUAGGCGGAAUCACUGGGCUUAAAGCGUGUGUAGGCGGACCGUUAAGUACCUUGUGAAAUCCCACGGCUCAACCGUGGAACGGCUGGGUAUACUGGCGGUCUUGAGCCACCUAGGGGCGAGCGGAACAAACGGUGGAGCGGUGAAAUGCGUAGAUAUCGUUUGGAACGCCAAUGGUGAAGACAGCUCGCUGGGGGUGUGCUGACGCUGAGACACGAAAGCCAGGGGAGCGAACGGG